ensembl:snRNA U6 U6 spliceosomal RNA
GUGCUCACUUUGGCUGCACAUAUACUAAAAUUGGAACGAUACAGAGAAUAUUAGCAUGGCCUCUGGGCAAGGAUGACAUGGAAAUUCGUGAAACAUUCCAUAUUUAA